rnacentral:tRNA from 1 species
GGGAGUUUGGUCUAGUGGUUAUUGAUUCUCGCUUCGGGUGCGAGGAGGCCGCGAGUUCGAUUCUCGCAACUCCCC